GGGCCCGCGGCGGGGGCGGGACUUGGCUGGCGCGCGGCUCCGCCCCCACUCGCGACUCGGGGGCCGCAGAGUCCGGUGGAGCCCCGCGAUGGCCUCUGCUGAUCGCCCUCUGCCCAAGAUGGAAAGUGCUGGGCAAGUCUUCUCUAACAAAGCAUCUCCUCACCACCUGACUCCUUCGCUCAAGUAAUGCGGCUGGAAGGCCAGACAGUAACUAGGCAGUGGCAGCCUCCCUCCAGGCGAUGGCUGCUUGGUGGGCAGAGCUCCUGCUGCGUGUUGGCCCUCUCAAGGCCAAACAAUUCCUCUUUGCGAUGCUCAGGAAUAAGACUGGCCUCCCUGGACGGCAGGUAGGUGCGUGCUGUAGCUGCUCUGCAUCCCCUCCACCCUCCGUCAGGCUUAGAGGGGUCCUGGCUUUGUGCCCAGCUGGGCUUCUGUCUGCCUGCCCCCGCUUGCAGAUGCCUGUCAUUCUCUACGGCAUAUCCCUUCAGGUCUGGCCUUCCCCUGCCUUCCCUGCACUCUGUCUCCCUCAGGCCUAGCUAAGGACAAGCCUUGGUAUGUGGAAGGUUCCCAGGUUCCUAUGGGGGCAUCCUCUGGCCCCGGGUCCACUGGACGGGCCCUCGGCCAGUCCCCAAGUGAGGACCGGCAGGCACGCCUCUCCCUAAGCAGGCCUGUCACCAGGAGGCUGAGGAUCGGGGUGCUCGGACUGAAGCCCAGUACUUUGGGAUCAGCGCCAGACACUGCUGGUGUGGCCUUUGCCUUCCGGAGUGCCACACAAACUGACAGGACUGCACAGGCUAUGAGACACCGUGAGCCCAGUGGAGUCCCCGAGCCAAGAGGAGCUCGUUCUGCGAGGCUUCCCAGGGUGAGGUGGAAUCGUCCAGGCCUUCCUUCUGCCCACAAGCCCACACUGCACGAGCACGAGCACACCCACAAGGCAGAGAUGGAGGAGGCGGCUUUUGGUACCAGAGUGACUUGCCAAGAAGGGGAAAUGGGGCAGGCGAGCUGUCCCUAUCACAAGCACGGGGACCAGGCUGCAGUCCUCGGGCAGCCUUGCCCCGGCUCUCUGGGCCUCCUGCCUGGUCGGCACUGAGCAGUAAUUCUUCCCAUCUAACACUGGCUACACCACCCACCCUAGUGAUACCACCCCACUCCAAUAGUGGGACUGUCAGUUGGUUCAACAGAAGUUCUGCUGGUUCCCUUUUGGGGCCCUGGCUCACAUGCGUGGAGUCAGACCAGAGGAGUCACUCCGGCAGCACCGGCGGGAGGCAGCCCAUGGGCAACGCUGGUCUGUCCUGCAGAGUUGACACCCUGGCAGCCGUGAGCUUUCGGUGGGAACAGCCCUGCACAACUGUCCAAGGGGACUGGCAGCUGGUGACCUGCUAAGACUUUGCCCCUGGCCCGUCCUCUGGUCUGAGAAGAGGGAAGGUGAUCUGGCCUCCACACAGAAUAGGCAGCAGCUGCCCAGGGAGCCCUUGUCCUGUGCACUGCACCCUGGCUGCCACGGGAUCUUUUGUGGGCGACCUGGUCCCAGUGCACUGAAGCUCAGGACCGAGGCCACAGUUGGCAGAACUCUGAAACAUGGGAAGCAACUGGGAAGCAGAAUCCUGCUCACAGCAGGCCCUGCAAGCAAGAGGCUCCCAAAGGGUUUACUGAGGCUUGGGGGCCCAGCUUCCCAUGUCCAGCCUCGUCCUGUGGGAAUCCCAGACAGCACAACACAGCAGAUUAUUUCAAAAAAAGUCUUUUAAUU